GGUGGAUAGGGGCAGGUCUGCUCAUUCACUGCUGCCUUCCCCGCAUCUGGUACCGUGCACACAGAAUAAGCCUAGCAGAAUGCCUGUGGAUGGACUGACCAAUGAAAGUAAUGAGGUGCUGGGACCCGAAGGAAGUGGGGGCGGCUAAAGAGUUGACAGAUUCUGAAUCUACCUAGCCGUGUGACCUUGGCCAAGGGCCAGGCGGGUUCAGGCACGUUCCUGGCGGAAGGUGCUCUGAUGCUGUGGAAGACAGUUUCUUCAUGGAUUCCAACUGCUUGAUUUGUGGGAAUGACUCAACCAUGCCUGUUCUCCCCCACCUUUGAUGAGGCAUCUGACACUGAGUUAAUUCAUUUGCAUGGUGUAGACUACAGUAAAUCCAGUGUUGGGACACUGUGUCAUCUUCUUUCUGAUUAUGAUGGUAACAAACGCUUGCCAUAGGAGACUGGAAAAAUCUAUCCUAUAGGAAUAUUGGAAAAUCUAUCCUGUAGGAAGAAAGAAAAAACUCACCUAAACUUGUACCAUACACUGUCAAAUCUGGGCACUUUUCCUUCUUUUUGUCUUUUUC
rnacentral:lncRNA from 1 species